rnacentral:rRNA from 1 species
UUAAGCGACUAAGCGUACACGGUGGAUGCCCUGGCAGUCAGAGGCGAUGAAGGACGUGCUAAUCUGCGAUAAGCGUCGGUAAGGUGAUAUGAACCGUUAUAACCGGCGAUUUCCGAAUGGGGAAACCCAGUGUGAUUCGUCACACUAUCAUUAACUGAAUCCAUAGGUUAAUGAGGCGAACCGGGGGAACUGAAACAUCUAAGUACCCCGAGGAAAAGAAAUCAACCGAGAUUCCCCCAGUAGCGGCGAGCGAACGGGGAGCAGCCCAGAGCCUGAAUCAGUGUGUGUGUUAGUGGAAGCGUCUGGAAAGGCGCGCGAUACAGGGUGACAGCCCCGUACACAAAAAUGCACAUGCUGUGAGCUCGAUGAGUAGGGCGGGACACGUGGUAUCCUGUCUGAAUAUGGGGGGACCAUCCUCCAAGGCUAAAUACUCCUGACUGACCGAUAGUGAACCAGUACCGUGAGGGAAAGGCGAAAAGAACCCCGGCGAGGGGAGUGAAAAAGAACCUGAAACCGUGUACGUACAAGCAGUGGGAGCCUCUUUAUGGGGUGACUGCGUACCUUUUGUAUAAUGGGUCAGCGACUUAUAUUCUGUAGCAAGGUUAACCGAAUAGGGGAGCCGAAGGGAAACCGAGUCUUAACUGGGCGUUAAGUUGCAGGGUAUAGACCCGAAACCCGGUGAUCUAGCCAUGGGCAGGUUGAAGGUUGGGUAACACUAACUGGAGGACCGAACCGACUAAUGUUGAAAAAUUAGCGGAUGACUUGUGGCUGGGGGUGAAAGGCCAAUCAAACCGGGAGAUAGCUGGUUCUCCCCGAAAGCUAUUUAGGUAGCGCCUCGUGAAUUCAUCUCCGGGGGUAGAGCACUGUUUCGGCAAGGGGGUCAUCCCGACUUACCAACCCGAUGCAAACUGCGAAUACCGGAGAAUGUUAUCACGGGAGACACACGGCGGGUGCUAACGUCCGUCGUGAAGAGGGAAACAACCCAGACCGCCAGCUAAGGUCCCAAAGUCAUGGUUAAGUGGGAAACGAUGUGGGAAGGCCCAGACAGCCAGGAUGUUGGCUUAGAAGCAGCCAUCAUUUAAAGAAAGCGUAAUAGCUCACUGGUCGAGUCGGCCUGCGCGGAAGAUGUAACGGGGCUAAACCAUGCACCGAAGCUGCGGCAGCGACGCUUAUGCGUUGUUGGGUAGGGGAGCGUUCUGUAAGCCUGCGAAGGUGUGCUGUGAGGCAUGCUGGAGGUAUCAGAAGUGCGAAUGCUGACAUAAGUAACGAUAAAGCGGGUGAAAAGCCCGCUCGCCGGAAGACCAAGGGUUCCUGUCCAACGUUAAUCGGGGCAGGGUGAGUCGACCCCUAAGGCGAGGCCGAAAGGCGUAGUCGAUGGGAAACAGGUUAAUAUUCCUGUACUUGGUGUUACUGCGAAGGGGGGACGGAGAAGGCUAUGUUGGCCGGGCGACGGUUGUCCCGGUUUAAGCGUGUAGGCUGGUUUUCCAGGCAAAUCCGGAAAAUCAAGGCUGAGGCGUGAUGACGAGGCACUACGGUGCUGAAGCAACAAAUGCCCUGCUUCCAGGAAAAGCCUCUAAGCAUCAGGUAACAUCAAAUCGUACCCCAAACCGACACAGGUGGUCAGGUAGAGAAUACCAAGGCGCUUGAGAGAACUCGGGUGAAGGAACUAGGCAAAAUGGUGCCGUAACUUCGGGAGAAGGCACGCUGAUAUGUAGGUGAAGUCCCUUGCGGAUGGAGCUGAAAUCAGUCGAAGAUACCAGCUGGCUGCAACUGUUUAUUAAAAACACAGCACUGUGCAAACACGAAAGUGGACGUAUACGGUGUGACGCCUGCCCGGUGCCGGAAGGUUAAUUGAUGGGGUUAGCGGUAACGCGAAGCUCUUGAUCGAAGCCCCGGUAAACGGCGGCCGUAACUAUAACGGUCCUAAGGUAGCGAAAUUCCUUGUCGGGUAAGUUCCGACCUGCACGAAUGGCGUAAUGAUGGCCAGGCUGUCUCCACCCGAGACUCAGUGAAAUUGAACUCGCUGUGAAGAUGCAGUGUACCCGCGGCAAGACGGAAAGACCCCGUGAACCUUUACUAUAGCUUGACACUGAACAUUGAGCCUUGAUGUGUAGGAUAGGUGGGAGGCUUUGAAGUGUGGACGCCAGUCUGCAUGGAGCCGACCUUGAAAUACCACCCUUUAAUGUUUGAUGUUCUAACGUUGGCCCCUAAUCGGGGUUGCGGACAGUGUCUGGUGGGUAGUUUGACUGGGGCGGUCUCCUCCUAAAGAGUAACGGAGGAGCACGAAGGUUGGCUAAUCCUGGUCGGACAUCAGGAGGUUAGUGCAAUGGCAUAAGCCAGCUUGACUGCGAGCGUGACGGCGCGAGCAGGUGCGAAAGCAGGUCAUAGUGAUCCGGUGGUUCUGAAUGGAAGGGCCAUCGCUCAACGGAUAAAAGGUACUCCGGGGAUAACAGGCUGAUACCGCCCAAGAGUUCAUAUCGACGGCGGUGUUUGGCACCUCGAUGUCGGCUCAUCACAUCCUGGGGCUGAAGUAGGUCCCAAGGGUAUGGCUGUUCGCCAUUUAAAGUGGUACGCGAGCUGGGUUUAGAACGUCGUGAGACAGUUCGGUCCCUAUCUGCCGUGGGCGCUGGAGAACUGAGGGGGGCUGCUCCUAGUACGAGAGGACCGGAGUGGACGCAUCACUGGUGUUCGGGUUGUCAUGCCAAUGGCACUGCCCGGUAGCUAAAUGCGGAAGAGAUAAGUGCUGAAAGCAUCUAAGCACGAAACUUGCCCCGAGAUGAGUUCUCCCUGACUCCCUGAGAGUCCUGAAGGAACGUUGAAGACGACGACGUUGAUAGGCCGGGUGUGUAAGCGCAGCGAUGCGUUGAGCUAACCGGUACUAAUGAACCGUGAGGCUUAACCUU